GACGAACGCUGGCGGCGUGCUUAACACAUGCAAGUCGAACGGAAAGGCCCUGCUUUUGUGGGGUGCUCGAGUGGCGAACGGGUGAGUAACACGUGAGUAACCUGCCCUUGACUUUGGGAUAACUUCAGGAAACUGGGGCUAAUACCGGAUAGGAGCUCCUGCUGCCUGGUGGGGGUUGGAAAGUUUCGGCGGUUGGGGAUGGACUCGCGGCUUAUCAGCUUGUUGGUGGGGUAGUGGCUUACCAAGGCUUUGACGGGUAGCCGGCCUGAGAGGGUGACCGGCCCCAAUGGGACUGAGGGACGGACCAGACUGCUACGGGGGGCAGAAGUGGGGAAUAUUGCACAAUGGGCGGAAGCCUGAUGCAGCAACGCCGCGUGCGGGAUGACGGCCUUCGGGUUGUAAACCGCUUUCGCCUGUGACGAAGCGUGAGUGACGGUAAUGGGUAAAGAAGCACCGGCUAACUACGUG
rnacentral:rRNA from 1 species